UUCGAUAACGAACGAGACCUUAACCUGCUAAAUAGCCAGGCUAGCUUUGGCUGGUCGCCGGCUUCUUAGAGGGACUAUCGGCUCAAGCCGAUGGAAGUUUGAGGCAAUAACAGGUCUGUGAUGCCCUUAGAUAUUCUGGGCCGCACGCGCGCUACACUGACAGGGCCAGCGAGUACAUCACCUUAGCCGAGAGGCUUGGGUAAUCUUGUUAAACCCUGUCGUGCUGGGGAUAGAGCAUUGCAAUUAUUGCUCUUCAACGAGGAAUGCCUAGUAAGCGCGUGUCAUCAGCACGCGUUGAUUACGUCCCUGCCCUUUGUACACACCGCCCGUCGCUAAUACCGAUUGAAUGGGUAA
rnacentral:rRNA from 1 species